GUAUUUCAUUUCGCCAUACGGCAGAUAAACAUCCAAUAAUUUUAACUGAGAGUGUAUGAAUUUCGAAAGCAGGUUUUUAAAAAUAAAAAUAAAAAUCCUGCCUUCAAAAUCUAAGUGCACAGGUGUAAAUGGACUAGGAGAGCGAGCACAUGCAGUCCAAAAAAAGGACUACCAGCAUCAACUCCCUGUAAUUCGUUAAUGAUCCUUCCGCAGGUUCACCUACGGAAA
rnacentral:misc_RNA from 1 species